rnacentral:rRNA from 1 species
UACGUAGGGGGCAAGCGUUAUCCGGAUUUACUGGGUGUAAAGGGAGCGUAGACGGCUUUGCAAGCCAGAUGUGAAAGCCCGGGGCUCAACCCCGGGACUGCAUUUGGAACUGUAUGGCUGGAGUGUCGGAGAGGCAGGCGGAAUUCCUAGUGUAGCGGUGAAAUGCGUAGAUAUUAGGAGGAACACCAGUGGCGAAGGCGGCCUGCUGGACGAUGACUGACGUUGAGGCUCGAAAGUGUGGGGAGCAAACAGG